AUGGGGUUCUGUUUUGUGCGUUCGGUUCUGCAGUUCUGCCCAGUCUGAUGGACCGCCUGGGGGACGCCAAAGACCAGGUCCGAGACCAGGACCAGACCUUACUCAUCAAGAUCAUGGACCAGGCGGCCAUCCCACAGUACGUGUGGGACCUGAUGCUGGGGGGCUCCUAGCACAAGAACAACUGGACGCGAGAGGGAGUGUCUGUGCCUCAUCGCCACCCUCAACGCAUAUGGCGCCCAGGGUCUCACCCUCAGCAAGAUCGUCCCCCACAUAUGCAGCCUUUUAGGAGACCCCACCAGCCAGGUGAGAGAUGCAGCCAUGACGUGUCUGGUGGAGAUCUACAGGCACGUGGGGGAGAGGGUGAGGACGGACCUCAGCAAGAAGGGACUCCCCCAAUCAAGGGCCAGUUUCAAAGCCUACAAUCACCAUGGACUGCAUUGAUACCAUCUGCACCCUGACCUGCAAGGGAAAGAAAGAUAAAUUAACAACGUACACCUGGGCUAAUGGCAUUGAUGAGUGGCCUGGAUCUGAACUGACUGUGGAGAGGAGAGACCAUGAUGUGGUCUACACCUGUAACAUCAGUAAUCCAGUGAGCUCGGCAUCCAGACAAGGGACAGUCAAAAACAUGUACUGCCUCCACCAGAUCCAGGUCAGAAAAAGUGAAGAGAGGAUGCAUUUGUGUGCGCCGAUCCUUUUAAUCUUAUUUGCCAAAAAUGUAUUUUCUUAUCUUUGCAGUUGCUAUUGGAUGUAGGGUGUCACUUUUUAUUGUAAUUGUCCUAAUUGCAAUUCGACUUCAUUGGGGGUUAAAAAAAGCAAGGUGAGUAUCCUUAAAAUCUUUUGAGACUGAUUGUGCAGAUUCAAGGGGGUUUAAGAAAGUACUGUAAUUCGAUUCUAACCCCAGUAUCAACCUGUUAUAUACACUUUAAAUGCGUUAUUAUACUGUUUGACCAUUUCAAUGUCAAGAUUCUCACCAGAGUGAGUUUGUAGAGUCGGCAAAGCAUCAGGGUGGCUUUUUACUGACCUAUUAUCAUUAGGCAGCUAGAGUGCCUCCUGUACUAAAAUUCAUGCUUUUCUAUCGAAUGUCAGAAACGUUAUUUCUUCCUGGUUGUAUGUUGUUUUAAAAUGUUCUAAUAAGUUUUCUAAUUGUUGCUAACAUCGAAAGUUUGGUUCUGUUUGCCAAGUCUAAAUAAAAGAAAGUGUCAGUGUGUUGA
ensembl:lncRNA